AAUGAACGUUGGCGGCGUGGAUUAGGCAUGCAAGUCGAGCGAGAAAGGUUUUGAAGCUUGCUUUAGAACCUGGACAGCGGCGAAAGGGAGAGUAACGCGUAGUUACGUGCCCCAGGGUUCGGAAUAGCCACGGGAAACUGUGGGUAAUGCCGAAUAACAUCUCCGGAUCAAAGGUGUGAUUCCGCCCUGGGAGCGGACUGCGUCCUACUAGCUUGUUGGCGGGGUAAUGGCCCACCAAGGCAACAAUGGGUAGCGGGUGUGAGAGCAUGACCCGUCUCACUGGGACUGAGACACUGCCCAGACACCUACGGGUGGCUG
rnacentral:rRNA from 1 species